GUGAGGAAUUUUCCGCAAUGGGCGAAAGCCUGACGGAGCAAUGCCGCGUGAAGGAUGAAGGCCUUUGGGUUGUAAACUUCUUUUCUCAGAAAAGAAUUAUGACGGUAUCUGAGGAAUAAGCAUCGGCUAACUCUGUGCCAGCAGCCGCGGUAAGACAGAGGAUGCAAGCGUUAUCCGGAAUGAUUGGGCGUAAAGCGUCUGUAGGUUGUUUAAAAAGUAUUCUGUCAAAGAUUAGGGCUUAACCCUAGAUAGGCAGAAUAAACUUUUAAGCUAGAGUUUGGUAGAGGCAGAGGGAAUUCCCGGUGGAGCGGUGAAAUGCGUAGAUAUCGGGAGGAACACCAAAGGCGAAGGCACUCUGCUGGGCCAAUACUAACACUGAGAGACGAAAGCGAGGGGAGCAAAUGGGAUUAGAAACCCUAGUAGUCC
rnacentral:rRNA from 1 species